UAAGGAAUAUUGGUCAAUGGACGCAAGUCUGAACCAGCCAUGCCGCGUGAAGGAUGAAGGUCCUCUGGAUUGUAAACUUCUUUUAUCUGGGACGAAAACGGGAUUUUUAUCUCAAUUGACGGUACCAGAGGAAUAAGCACCGGCUAACUCCGUGCCAGCAGCCGCGGUAAUACGGAGGGUGCGAGCGUUAUCCGGAUUUAUUGGGUUUAAAGGGUCCGUAGGCGGACUUAUAAGUCAGUGGUGAAAGCCUGUCGCUUAACGAUAGAACUGCCAUUGAUACUGUAAGUCUUGAGUAUAUUUGAGGUAGCUGGAAUAAGUAGUGUAGCGGUGAAAUGCAUAGAUAUUACUUAGAACACCAAUUGCGAAGGCAGGUUACCAAGAUAUAACUGACGCUGAGGGACGAAAGCGUGGGGAGCGAAC
rnacentral:rRNA from 1 species